rnacentral:rRNA from 1 species
UGCAGUCGAACGAUGAACCACUUCGGUGGGGAUUAGUGGCGAACGGGUGAGUAACACGUGGGCAAUCUGCCCUGCACUCUGGGACAAGCCCUGGAAACGGGGUCUAAUACCGGAUACUGACCUUCACGGGCAUCUGUGAAGGUCGAAAGCUCCGGCGGUGCAGGAUGAGCCCGCGGCCUAUCAGCUUGUUGGUGAGGUAAUGGCUCACCAAGGCGACGACGGGUAGCCGGCCUGAGAGGGCGACCGGCCACACUGGGACUGAGACACGGCCCAGACUCCUACGGGAGGCAGCAGUGGGGAAUAUUGCACAAUGGGCGAAAGCCUGAUGCAGCGACGCCGCGUGAGGGAUGACGGCCUUCGGGUUGUAAACCUCUUUCAGCAGGGAAGAAGCGAAAGUGACGGUACCUGCAGAAGAAGCGCCGGCUAACUACGUGCCAGCAGCCGCGGUAAUACGUAGGGCGCAAGCGUUGUCCGGAAUUAUUGGGCGUAAAGAGCUCGUAGGCGGCUUGUCACGUCGGUUGUGAAAGCCCGGGGCUUAACCCCGGGUCUGCAGUCGAUACGGGCAGGCUAGAGUUCGGUAGGGGAGAUCGGAAUUCCUGGUGUAGCGGUGAAAUGCGCAGAUAUCAGGAGGAACACCGGUGGCGAAGGCGGAUCUCUGGGCCGAUACUGACGCUGAGGAGCGAAAGCGUGGGGAGCGAACAGGAUUAGAUACCCUGGUAGUCCACGCCGUAAACGGUGGGCACUAGGUGUGGGCAACAUUCCACGUUGUCCGUGCCGCAGCUAACGCAUUAAGUGCCCCGCCUGGG